rnacentral:rRNA from 1 species
AUUGAACGCUGGCGGCAUGCCUAACACAUGCAAGUCGAACGGCAGCACGGUCUGGUUUACCAGAUGGGUGGCGAGUGGCGAACGGGUGAGUAAAGCGUAGGAAUAUACCUUAAAGAGGGGGAUAACCUGGGGAAACUCAGGCUAAUACCGCGUAAACUCUGCGGAGCAAAGCUGGGGACCGAAAGGCCUGGCGCUUUAAGAAUAGCCUGCGUCCGAUUAGCUAGUUGGUGGGGUAAAGGCUCACCAAGGCGACGAUCGGUAGCUGGUCUGAGAGGACGAACAGCCACACUGGGACUGAGACACGGCCCAGACUCCUACGGGAGGCAGCAGUGGGGAAUAUUGGACAAUGGGGGGAACCCUGAUCCAGCAAUGCCGCGUGUGUGAAGAAGGCCUGAGGGUUGUAAAGCACUUUCAGUGGGGAGGAGGAUUACUAGGUUAAGAGCCAGGUAAUUGGACGUUACCCACAGAAGAAGCACCGGCUAACUCCGUGCCAGCAGCCGCGGUAAUGUCGUACG